rnacentral:rRNA from 1 species
AACCUCCGCAAUGUGAGAAAUCGCGACGGGGGGAUCCCAAGUGCCAUUCUUAACGGGAUGGCUUUUCAUUAGUGUAAAGAGCUUUUGGAAUAAGGGCUGGGCAAGACCGGUGCCAGCCGCCGCGGUAACACCGGCAGCUCUAGUGGUAGCAGUUUUUAUUGGGCCUAAAGCGUCCGUAGCCGGUUUAAUAAGUCUCUGGUGAAAUCCUGUAGCUUAACUGUGGGAAUUGCUGGAGAUACUAUUAGACUUGAGACCGGGAGAGGUUAGAGGUACUCCCAGGGUAGAGGUGAAAUUCUGUAAUCCUGGGAGGACCGCCUGUUGCGAAGGCGUCUAACUGGAACGGUUCUGACGGUGAGGGACGAAAGUUAGGGGCGCGAACCGGAUUAGAUACCCGGGUAGUCCUAACUGUAAACGAUGCGGACUUGGUGUUGGGGUGGCUUUGAGCUGCUCCAGUGCCGAAGGGAAGCUGUUAAGUCCGCCGCCUGGGAGUACGGUCGCAAGACUGAAACUUAAAGGAAUU